rnacentral:rRNA from 1 species
CCUACGGGAGGCAGCAGUGGGGAAUAUUGGACAAUGGGCGAAAGCCUGCUCCAGCCAUGCCGCGUGUGUGAAGAAGGCCUUCGGGUUGUAAAGCACUUUCAGUGGGGAAGAAAGCCUUGGGGCUAAUACCCUCGAGGAAGGACAUCACCCACAGAAGAAGCACCGGCUAACUCCGUGCCAGCAGCCGCGGUAAUACGGAGGGUGCGAGCGUUAAUCGGAAUUACUGGGCGUAAAGCGCGCGUAGGCGGUCUGAUAAGCCGGUUGUGAAAGCCCCGGGCUCAACCUGGGAACGGCAUCCGGAACUGUCAGGCUAGAGUGCAGGAGAGGAAGGUAGAAUUCCCGGUGUAGCGGUGAAAUGCGUAGAGAUCGGGAGGAAUACCAGUGGCGAAGGCGGCCUUCUGGACUGACACUGACGCUGAGGUGCGAAAGCGUGGGUAGCAAACAGGAUUAGAUACCCGAGUAGUC